GACGAACGCUGGCGGCGUGCUUAACACAUGCAAGUCGAACGGAAAGGCCCUGCUUUUGUGGGGUGCUCGAGUGGCGAACGGGUGAGUAACACGUGAGUAACCUGCCCUUGACUUUGGGAUAACUUCAGGAAACUGGGGCUAAUACCGGAUAGGAUCUCCUGCUUCAUGGUGGGGGUUGGAAAGUUUCGGCGGUUGGGGAUGGACUCGCGGCUUAUCAGCUUGUUGGUGGGGUAGUGGCUUACCAAGGCUUUGACGGGUAGCCUGGCUGAGAGGGUGACCGGCCACGUUGGGACUGAGAUACGGCCCAGACCACAACGGGAGGCAGCAGUGGGGAAUAUUGCACAAUGGGCGGAAGCCUGAUGCAGUCACGCCGCGUGGGGGAUGACGGCCUUCGGGUUGUAAACCGCUUUCGCCUGUGACGAAGCGUGAGUGACGGUAAUGGGUAAAGAAGCACCGGCUAACUACGUG
rnacentral:rRNA from 1 species